rnacentral:rRNA from 1 species
ACUACUCUUAACAGCUAGCCCUCACCCCAAGAGCAACAAACACCAUCAAUAACCCCUCAUAACCAACACAACCAUUAACAAAUCAUUUUUCCUCCCUAGUAUGGGCGACAGAAA